CCAUCCUUACAAGCUCCAAUUUUUUCAGGUUCUUUGAUAGAGUUAAUUGUCCUUUUCUUUGGAUCAAUCAAUUUCAAGGUACUUGAAGAAGUUUUGAAAUUGGAAGGAGCUCAUGGGUAGCGAGACCUGAAAGAAGUGUUAAAGAAUCGAAGAAAAUAAAGAAUAUGAAGUGCGGCUAUCUCCUUUGCCGCACAACAUCAGUUUACCACAUAAUAUUUGUGGUUCACUUCAUCACACUCUCAAUUAACAACAGAAGGGGAUAUGACAUUUAUAUGAAAAUGUAGUGCUACUUUUAAUAUGUAUGUAUAUUUCAAAUCAUAUAGUACAUUGAUCAGUUUCUAAUUCAAAUUAUUUACUUCUUAUUUAAUUUUAUGACACCGCUUUUUUU